CAGCCGCCGCGGUAAUACGAAGGGUGCAAGCGUUAAUCGGAAUUACUGGGCGUAAAGCGUGCGUAGGCGGUGAGUUAAGUCUGCUGUGAAAUCCCCGGGCUCAACCCGGGAAUGGCAGUGGAUACUGGCUCGCUAGAGUGUGUCAGAGGAUGGUGGAAUUCCCGGUGUAGCGGUGAAAUGCGUAGAGAUCGGGAGGAACAUCAGUGGCGAAGGCGGCCAUCUGGGACAACACUGACGCUGAGGCACGAAAGCGUGGGGAGCAAACAGGAUUAGAUACCCGAGUAGUCCCUGUCUCUUAUAC
rnacentral:rRNA from 1 species